rnacentral:rRNA from 1 species
UACGUAGGGGGCAAGCGUUGUCCGGAUUUAUUGGGCGUAAAGAGCGUGUAGGCGGCUUUACAGGUCCGUUGUGAAAACUCGAGGCUCAACCUCGAGACGCCGGUGGAAACCGUAAGGCUAGAGUCCGGAAGAGGAGAGUGGAAUUCCUGGUGUAGCGGUGAAAUGCGCAGAUAUCAGGAGGAACACCCGUGGCGAAAGCGGCUCUCUGGGACGGUACUGACGCUGAGACGC